GGUCCGGUGGUGUAAUGGUAACACACCUGAAACAUAUAAGAUGCAGGGAAGCUAAUAAGUAGGAGUUCCCUGUUCAACUCAGGGCUGGAUCA